AGGUUUUUUAAAUUAUUAUUCUCUAUCUUUUUAUUCCUGCUCUUUACUUCCUUCCCUUUCUUCUGACUGGCAUGUAAAGCAGUAACAUGUGUCUGCACCUGUGCCAGUAUAAUACAGGUUCAUGUACACUGGAAACAUACAGAGUUGAAGUAAGUACAUGUAAAUGCUCCAUGUAUUAGACCAUAAUGCAGUUAGUAUCUGCAUUCAUGGAGAGAGCUCAGGGAAGGCACUGGAGUAGUUGGAAGACUGCUCUGUCCUAAUCUGGGAUUGCAUUUUCUGAACACUUUACUUCUAUGUCAAAACCUGUCUUGGCCCCAAGGAGCAAACUCUCCCUUUUUUGCUGCCUUCUCUCAGUCUGUAACCUUGUUGAGACUUUUGUCCCUUCCCCCUGCCCCCCCCCCAAGUCCUCUACAUUGCUGUCCUUGCUCAGAUGGCACCAUUGUGCUUUGUAUGGAGAACAAAAGAUAACCCACAAUGCUACGGAGAACUAAGUUUUACUAGGAAUGUGUUUUCUCUGAGAGCUGGCAGGCUGUAUUUGCAGUACCCUGGCUAAAGGGAGUCUUCUGGUUUUAGAGUAGGGAGAACUCGCUUCUUCAUACAGAAGUCAUAGAAGCAAAACAAAAAAGAGAAUAUACCAUACAUAGCAGCAUUAGCUGAAAUGAUUCUAUAGCAUGGGGCAGGUGUGGGAGGUUGAACAAAACUCACUAUAGGUAGCUGUUAUAACCCUCAUUAAAGGAGCCUUGCAAGUAAUUUCUUCUGUUCUGACCCCACCAUUAUGGUUAUUGCUUUUUUGCCAUUUAUUACUGUGUUACCAAAUGACCUCCACAUUUGAAUCAUAAAUCAGCAAGCUUCCAGAUCAAGGCCACUUAAUCCUGCAACAGCAGAAGACAUUGUGAGCUAUUUCAAUGCCAUAGUAAGUUAUAGUCUAAGUCUGCCCUUGAAGAAGUGGGUCAAGAGAGCUCAAGCUCAAACUGGGGGAAGACUGGGAAUGACAGACAGACUGAGAGCUUAGCUGGUACUGUCUCCCACUUGAAUUCCCAAGGGUGUCACAUUCCUUACCAGCAGGCUAGCAGCACUUGCUCGGAAAGGUGAGAAAUUCUUUUCUGUCUGAAAACAUGAAAGGCGGCAGCAGCAAGACAGGAAAGACCAUGUGGUUCCCAGUCUUACUGUGGUGGAACAGGAGCAGUACACACAGGACAGUGCAUGGGAUCAGAGCAGCACAGUGACAGGGGACAUCCUGCAGUUGAAAAGUUAUUAGGAUUAAAGCAAGCUGUGAAAUUAAAACUGAAUAGCUAUUCCAGAAUAACAGCAUGUAGAGACAAUCCCUAUAAUCUUGGAAGUUAAAUGCAAAUACUGAGCUCUAAUUUUGGAUUACCAUUAAUCAGUUAAGCUGGCAUAGCCCCAUUCCUUUAUCCAAUGCAACCUGCGUAAAAAAACCCAAAAACAAAACAAAAAACCCCCAAACUAUUAGCUCCACUGAGGUAUUCAGACU